GAUGAACGCUGGCGGCGUGCCUAAUACAUGCAAGUCGAGCGAAUGACGAGGAGCUUGCUCCUCUGAUUUAGCGGCGGACGGGUGAGUAACACGUGGGUAACCUGCCUGUAAGACGGGGAUAACUCCGGGAAACCGGAGCUAAUACCGGAUGAUAACGAGAAGCGCCUGCUUCUUUUUUGAAAGUCGGUUUCGGCUGACGCUUACAGAUGGGCCCGCGGCGCAUUGGCUAGUUGGUGAGGUAACGGCUCACCAAGGCGACGAUGCGUAGCCGACCUGAGAGGGUGGUCGGCCACACUGGGACUGAGACACGGCCCAGACUCCUACGGGAGGCAGCAGUAGGGAAUCUUCGGCAAUGGACGAAAGUCUGACCGAGCAACGCCGCGUGAGCGAUGAAGGCCUUCGGGUCGUAAAGCUCUGUUGUCAGAGAAGAACAAGUACCGGAGUAACUGCCGGUACCUUGACGGUACCUGACCAGAAAGCCACGGCUAACUACGUGCCAGCCGCCGCCGUAACAC
rnacentral:rRNA from 1 species